UACAGAGGGUGCGAGCGUUGUCCGGAAUUACUGGGCGUAAAGGGCGCGUAGGCGGCCUGAUAAGUAGGGGGUGAAAUUCCGGGGCUCAACCACGGAACUGCCUUCUAAACUGCCAGGCUUGAGCACGGUAGAGGCAGAUGGAAUUCCCGGUGUAGCGGUGGAAUGCGUAGAGAUCGGGAAGAACACCAGUGGCGAAGGCGGUCUGCUGGGCCGUUGCUGACGCUGAUGCGCGACAGCGUGGGGAGCAAACAGG
rnacentral:rRNA from 1 species